GCGGGGAGCGGGCGCUCGGGUUGUGGUGGCCGGAGGGGCCUGGGCCGCGAGGUCGACGCCUGUGGUUCCGGCGGUCGAGGCCAAAGGACCCACCGCGGCUUGGUCGCCGGAGAGGGAGGGGUGCGCUGCCGCCGCCGCCCGGCCGGUGCCCGGGAAAAUCAGCCCAGAGAAUUGAUGGGAUUUGCCCCAGGUCUCCCACCCGGCAAGCCAGCCCUAAGGACCCGGGUACUGGCGCAUGGGGACGGUGGCUCUCCCUCUCGUGUGUAAAGGACGGAGCCCCUGGACUGCCAGGUUCCCUACCCGGGAGGAGGAGGAAGAGGAGAAAUCCGUCUGCUGGGGCCUGAGCGUGGCCUGGGAGACCGACCAUCGUCCCAGGAUGCCCCUGCCUGAGCCCAGCGAGCAGGAGGGUGAGAGUGUGAAGGCUGGCCAGGAGCCGUCCCCGGAGUCCCCUGAGCCAGGGACCGAUGUCGUCCCCGCCGCCCCCACGAAGCCCAAAGAGUUCUCCAAACUGGUCCUGCUGGCAGCCUCCACAGAGAAUGUGGACGAGGUGGACUCCCAGCCCAAAGGAGGGCACUGUGUCAUGUCCCUGGAGUUGUCUCGCCCUGACACACUAGCCAGGACCCCCCAGAUCCUGCCAGUGGAGGAGCAAGCGGGCACAGUCCAGCCAACCCCCCAGGUCCUUGAGCAUAAACGCAGCAAGCCAGACACAGCAGCCCUCACGCCCCUGGAGUUCCUGAGGACCCCUUUCGGGGGCCGCCUCCUGGUGCUCGAGUGCUUCCUGUACAAGCAGGAGAAGGCCGUGGGGGACAAGGUGUACUGGAAGUGCCGCGAGCACUCUGAGCUGGGCUGCCGGGGCCGGGCCAUCACCCGGGGCCCGCGGGCCACAGUGAUGCGCGGCCACUGCCACCCGCCUGAUGAGGAGGGCCUGGAGGCCCGGCGCCAGAGACAGAAGCUGCCCAGCCCAGCCCUGCCUGAAGGCCCGGGGGGUCCGGAGGGCCCUGGAGGCCAAGUCGAGGAGCCACUGGAAGGGGUGGGCCCGUGGCUGUGCCCUGAGGAGCCGGAGCCCGCCCCUGGCUUGGUGCUGAGCAAGCCGGCCACAGAGGAGGAUGAGGGCCUACGAGCCCUGUCGCUGCUGAGCUUGCCCCCCAAGAAACGGCCGACGCUGGGGACCGGAGAACCCCGGCCCCUGGAGUUCCUGAGAACUUGCUACGGGGGCCAGUUCCUGGUGCACCAGUGCUUCCUGUACAAGCGAGAGAAGGCCGUGGGCGACAAGGUGUACUGGACGUGCCGGGACCACGCUCUGCACGGCUGCCGCAGCCGGGCCAUCACCCAGGGCCAGCGGGUGACUGUGAUGCGCGGCCACUGCCACCCGCCGGACGUGGAGGGCCUGGAGGCCCGGCGGCAGCAGGAGAAGGCCAUGGAGACGCUGCAGGCCCGGCCGGGCGGGCCCGGGGGCCAAGUGGACGAGCUGCUGUCCCGCAGCGGGCCCGGGCCCCUGACUCUCAGCAGAGCCCGGCCUAGAAAGCGCGCAAAGGUCCUUCCGGCCCAGCCCCCGGCCCUGCAGGGCGCCUCCGCCGGGGACCAGGAGGAUGACCUGGGAGGCCCCGAGUUCCUGAGGACCCCUCUGGGGGGCAGCUUCCUGGUGUACGAGUCCUUCCUGUACAGGCGGGAGAAGGCGGCCGGGGAGAAGGUGUACUGGACGUGCCGGGACCAGGCCCGCAUGGGCUGCCGCAGCCGCGCCAUCACCCAGGGCCGGCGGGUGACUGUGAUGCGCGGCCACUGCCACCCUCCUGACCUUGGGGGCCUGGAGGCCCUGAGGCAGCGGGAGAAGCGCCCUGGUGCGGCCCAGCGGGGGAGCCCAGGAGGCCCCGAGUUCCUGAGGACCCCUCUGGGGGGCAGCUUCUUGGUGUACGAGUCCUUCCUGUACAGGCGGGAGAAGGCGGCCGGGGAGAAGGUGUACUGGACGUGCCGGGACCAGGCCCGCAUGGGCUGCCGCAGCCGCGCCAUCACCCAGGGCCAGCGGGUGAUGGUGAUGCGCAGACACUGUCACCCGCCCGACCUGGGGGGCCUGGAGGCCCUGAGGCAGCGGGAGCAGAUCCCCAGCCCAGCCCAGAGGGAAGGCUCAGGAACGCUGCAGCCUCUGGAGUUCCUGCGGACUUCGCUCGGGGGCCGGUUCCUGGUGUACGAGUCCUUCCUCUACCGGAAGGAGAAGGCGGCCGGGGACAAGGUGUACUGGAUGUGCCGGGACCAGGCCCGGCUGGGCUGCCGCAGCCGCGCCAUCACCCAGGGCCAGCUGGUGACGGUGAUGCGUAGCCACUGCCACCUGCCUGACCUGGCGGGCCUGGAGGCCCUGAGGCAGCGGGAGCGGCGCCCCGGCGCGGCCCAGCAGGAGGACCCAGGUGGAGACAGGGCUGGGGGUCAGAGGUGGGAGUACCAACGAGCCGUGGGCAUCUCGUGGCUGCCAGCCCAAGGUUCAGACACCUCAGGGCAUUGGCGCCAUCUGGACCUUCGCGCCCUGGCCUUUCUACCUUUCCAGAAUCUUCUACCUCUCCUGUCCACUGGCUCCUUCUCCUGAGCCUGAAAACACCCCCAGAUCUGUCCCAUCCUCAAGAACAACUCCCCUUCUCAUUCAUUCUGUCUCCUUUCUUUUAUUCUAAGAGGUCUUCACUUGUUACAGGGCAGUGUUUUGUGAAAAUCUGAUGAAAAAAUAGAAAGCACUCCAGAAGAAUGUACUAAUGUCUGUGUGCACGCGCACACACAUGCACGUGUGCGCACACACGUUCGUAAGGCUUGCCGAUAAUUAAUUUUAUUGAACUGAAAAUGGGUCCCCUUCACAUAAACAGAAUAUAAAACCAGUCUGUAAGAGGCAUUUUUGUGUUUUAUGUUAAUUCACGUAACUAAUAAGGACCACAGGAAGCCUCGGGGGCCCAGUCAGUUAAGCGUCCGGCUCUUGAUUUUGGCUCAGGUCGUGAUCUCAAGUUGGUGGGAUUGGGCCCCAAGUCGGGUUUGGGCUCUGCGAUGACUGCACGGAGCCUGCUUGGGACCCUCUGUCUUUCUCUCUCCCUCCCUCUCUCUCUCUCUCUCUCUGCGCCCCUCCCCCACUCGCACCCGCUUGCUCUCUCCCUCUCGAAAUAAAUAAACUUAAAAAAAUGAUAAGGGCCACAUUUUAUCAAAUACAAAAAUGAUUCCAGGUUGUAUAAAACAGCCCAAAGAAAUUUGAUUUCUGUUCAAAGACAAAACAAAAACGGAAGGAGACUUCUGAGAGAAAGCCGCCAGUUGGCAACAAGAAGUAGGAUUCGUGGCGCCGCAGAGGGCACCUCUCUUUGUUUUGCACCAUUUUAUUUGUUUCUUUAUUUUGAGAGAGAGCGCGAGCCCGUGUGGGCAGGGGAGGGGCAGAGAGAGAGAGGGAAGGAGGGGAGCCCACGCAGGCUGCACGCGGUUGGCGCAGGGCCCGAUGCAGGGCUCAGAGGCACGAACCCUGAGACCCUGACCGGGGCCGAAACCAAGAGUCGGCCGCUCGACCGCCUGAGCCCCCCGGGCGGAGGGCCCCUCGCUUUUGACGCCUGGUUCAGUCCCGAUCUGCUCGAUGGAGGGGCUGCCCGCUGACCCUCAGGAUCCCGACCGGCUCCCUUCACCAGGCGCGGGAGUUUGGGGCGUCAGGAAACCAGAAUUCCCCGCGACGGCCCAAAUCAGGGUCUCUCCUCCCGGAUUCCUUUAUCCUCGAGGCCUCGAGGUCAUCAACGCAAAGUGCGCGCCUCGGUCUCUCGCCGCCUCAAGGAGAGAAGAAUUACUAACCCGUGUUUUCCAUUCUCUUCCCUCAGAAAACACGAAACUUCCGCCAGAAGUGCAGCUGCGUGUCCAGAGCGUCCCUCCGGAAACCCAGCAGGAAGGUGAACUGUGCGAAACCGCCCAGUGAGGAGCAGCGUGGCCCAUCCCCUCCCGACGGGAGCACAGGGACCUCGUGCUGCCAGCGUCACGGAUGCUCCGAGCCCACCCAGGACCCUGGCGUUUCCCACCCGGUUAGAUUUUGCUUCACAAAGACUCUCUUCCACUCCUCCACAGCACGGUGGCCUUCUCACUCCUUCAAGGGGCCUCCCAAGAGGAAAACUGACGGUGUCUUCGAGCGGGCACACGGGAGCUGGCGGCCCGCACACAUGGGUGACUCGGGGAGAGGCCCCCCCCCGCCCACGGAAGACCUGAAGAAGCAUCUUGUCACGGAGACACCUCUCCCCCGCUCCGCCGCCCCGAGCCGCGAACACCCGUCCACUUUCAGAGCACAUGACUUUGCCAAGGCCUUUCCAGUCGGGUGCGGCCCUGCUUGGCCAGGGCGCGUUUGGAGAAGUUCCUGCUGCUUCGGGCUCAGCUGUCCCGCGUAGCUCCGGCCUCCCCGGGUGUUCUCUGGGCAGGGGCCACGUGGGCCUUUGCGCCCCUCGGCCACCUGCCACUGGGCCGCAGCCCCCCCCCCCCGCCUGGUAACAGCAGCCCCACCGCACUCCCCCCGCACGCGCCGUCGACUUUCUCUCCCUCGCUGUCUUCCCAGGGUCCGUGAUCCCCGUGGCGGGCGUCCCUGCCGGCGGUGGGAGCCAGCCCGGAUGUCCACGGGAAGGCGGCCCCGGACAGCCACGACCGGGCCCGUGGUGUGUGGGCUGCCCACGUCCGUGUGAUGCAGGAGACGCAGACUCGAAUGGCAACGGAGGCCCACCCCUUCUGUCCGCCGGUGCAGGAGAGCUGUCCUGGCAGGUCCGAGAAGCAGGCGGCGGCGGCCGGGAGCCCCCGAGACACCUGCCGGGCCGUCCGGACAGCGAGGUUCCUUGUCUCCACGCUGUGACUGCAGAGCGAGCACGGGGCCACAGACUCCCUCUCUCCCGCCAAGCCGGCCGUGCAGCCUGCUGUCCGGCUACAGGACAGCGACAGCUUGGGACCCCACUGUCCCUCUGCUUACAGAUUUCCCGCCAAUAAACCCUAUUUUAUAUCUCA